AUGGACAGGGUCAGUUGCUCCUAUCUGGACGAGCUUUGUCAGGGUCAUGUGGUUGCUGCUGCUACCGCUUUGUCGGUGUCAAGGGUCAAUAAAACUCAGUUAUGCAGAUUGCCCAAUAGGUGCCAAACAGAUCCCCAAACCGAAACCCUGGCUCCUCUCUCUGCUCGGCACCGCCUACACCAGCGGCUUCGACAGUCAAUCCUCAGCGCCUGUCGCGACAAAGCUCUGGAAGGAGUGUGA
rnacentral:rRNA from 1 species